AGUGAACGCUGGCGGUAGGCCUAACACAUGCAAGUCGAACGGCAGCACAGUAAGAGCUUGCUCUUACGGGUGGCGAGUGGCGGACGGGUGAGGAAUACAUCGGAAUCUACUUUUUCGUGGGGGAUAACGUAGGGAAACUUACGCUAAUACCGCAUACGAACUACGGGUGAAAGCAGGGGAUCUUCGGACCUUGCGCGAUUGAAUGAGACGAUGUCGGAUUAGCUAGUUGGCGGGGUAAAGGCCCACCAAGGCGACGAUCCGUAGCUGGUCUGAGAGGAUGAUCAGCCACACUGGAACUGAGACACGGUCCAGACUCCUACGGGAGGCAGCAGUGGGGAAUAUUGGACAAUGGGCGCAAGCCUGAUCCAGCCAUACCGCGUGGGUGAAGAAGGCCUUCGGGUUGUAAAGCCCUUUUGUUGGGAAAGAAAAGCAGCAGGUUAAUACCCCGCUGUUCUGACGGUACCCAAAGAAUAAGCACCGGCUAACUUCGUG
rnacentral:rRNA from 1 species